UAUUCUGCUUGGUACAGUAACAAAAUUCGCAGCCACUGCUUAAAUUGUUUUCUAUGCAUUGCUGCCCCUGUCAGCUAGCAUUGCAGACAGCUGGAAGCAGAGCAGGAUGUGUUCACACAGGGUUCAGAAGACAAUCCAGGCGCACCAAAUAAAGCUAAAACUGUUAGUAGGGGUGCUCGUACUAAUAGUGAAAAUUUCAUUUGCUCAGCGGACCCCGGAUAUCCGUUGUCCUGUGAGAUACCAUGAAAGUGGAUGUUUUUUUCUGGGAUACUUUAUUCCAGCUGGUCAAAGUAUGGAAAUUCGAAACCCCUGUGUCUUUAUUUCUUGUUCUACGAAUGGACUGACAGUUUCAAUCACUGGGUGCCCGACGGCAGCCGGGAGACGCCGGCACGACCACAGAGCGUCUGCACGAUCUCCCGGAGGAUUUCCCGCCUGUUGCGAACGAUGUCGUGCUGCUUAGAGUAUCGCUGUCACUAGAUUUCUAAGACUUUGAGUGUGUUCAUAAAAAUGCGGCACUCUGCCCCAGCAAUCUGCCACACAAG
rnacentral:lncRNA from 1 species